CUGCGAAUGGCUCAUUAAAACAGUUAUAGUUUAUUUGAUACAUUAAAUGGAUAACUGUAGAAAAACUAGAGCUAAUACAUGCCAUAACCGUAAGGUUGUAUUUAUUAGAUAUUCCAAUUAAGGUGAAUCAUAAUAACUUCGCAAAUCUCGGUUAUGCCGAGAUAAAUCAUUCAAGUUUCUGCCCUAUCAUGCUUUCGAUGGUAGUGUAUUGGACUACCAUGGCUUUCGCGGGUAACAGGGAAUUAGGGUUCGAUUCUGGAGAAGGAGCCUGAGAAACGGCUACUACAUCUACGGAAGGUAGCAGGCGCGUAAAUUACCCAAUCCUGACUCAGGGAGGUGGUGACAAGAUAUAACAACGCGAUUAACAUCGCGAUUGUAGUGAGGGUAUUCUAAACCGAACCACUAGUACGAUUAGAGGGCAAGUCUGGUGCCAGCAGCCGCGGUAAUUCCAGCUCUAAUAGCGUAUAUUAAAGUUGCUGCAGUUAAAAAGCUCGUAGUUGGAUUUCAAGGAUUAUUUACUCACCCGAGUAAAUCUCCUACUAGUCUUUGACUGUUACUGUGAGAAAAUUAGAGUGUUUCAAGCAGGCUUUUGCAAGAAUACAUUAGCAUGGAAUAACGAAUGUGUUUAGAAUCUUGGUUAAAUUCUAGAUUACGAUUAAUAGAGACAGUUGGGGGCAUUAGUAUUUAAAUUGUCAGAGGUGAAAUUCUUGGAUUUGUUUAA
rnacentral:rRNA from 1 species